AGUCAUGGUGUCUCUUCACAGCAAUAGAAACCAUAAUUAAGACAAUUAUCAUGGCCCCUGUGCAAGGAUGAUAUGCAAAUUUGUGAGACUUUCCAUAUAUUA